UUACGCAGAUUCCAACGACAUGUCAUUGGAGGUGCUGUGUAGAAAUAUGAAGGUGCCUGAGCGGGGAGGACAGAGGAAAAUGGACACAGUCAACUAUUGAGUAAGCUGAAUGAAUAAGCCUGCUGAUCUGUUAGACUUGGAUCGGGGUGGUAGUGAGGGUGAGAAAGGAGUCAAGAGAAUGAGCGGAUGUUUAGCUGGAUAGAUGGUGACCUCUCUGAUGGGAGAAGACGGAGGAGGAACAGGUUAGUAAGAAAACGUCCAAGGGAAAUUGGAUUUUUUUCCUGGGUGACAAUAUUAUAUCCUGAUCUCUCUCCUGUCCCUCCUUCCUUCCAUCCCUCUGAGGAAAGAGAAUCUCUGAAAGUCCUUUCUUGGUUCCCCCAAAGAAAAUUAUCAUCUUAACGAGCCAUGCAGGCAGGUCUAGAAAAAGCCUGUCGUGCAGGCUUUUCCACUCCUGAUUGUAAAGAACAUUCUAAUCUUAUCGUCUUCGGGAGCCGUGAUGGCGAUCUCUCUGACAGUCAAUGGCCUGUCAUUUGUCUGCUUGGCUUCUCCUUGUUCUGCAGCGUAUUGUGAGCCUCCUGAGGGUGAAGGUAGCAUUCAUUUUUUUGUCUCCCUCAGUUUAACUGGUACAUGGCGUUUAGUAGGUAACUAUAAUUAUUUGUUGAAUUGAAUUAUGACAGUUGUAUGAAUGCUGGCUAUAAUGAACUCGUGUUCUUUUGCUCUUGCCUAGACUUUAUGUGGUCUUCCCAUAUUUCUGCGUGUGGCUCUUUUUAGAGAAGGGAUGUUUCUGUCUUGCUAACCACUGCAUCUCCCGAUCCAGGGUUAGAUUCAAAAAUACCUGUUCGAGAAUGGUGGUUGCCAGAGAGGAGGGGACCUGGGGAGUGGGUAAAACAGGUGAAGGGGGUCUUAGACUUCCAGUUAUAAAUAAAUAAAUCAUGGGGAUAGAAAGGAGAGCAUUGGUGACUAUGGUCAGUAGCAUUGUAGAGCAUAUGUGAAAGUUGUCAAGAGAGUAAAUCCGAAAAGUUAACUUUGUAUGAUGACAGAUGGUGACUAGACUUAGUGUAGUGAUCAUUUCACAUAUGUAAAAAUAUUGAGUCAUUAUGUUGUACACCUGAAACCAAUAUAAUGUUAAAUGUCUGUUAUACCUCAAUCAAUUCGUCUUUUAAAAAAUACUUGUGUUCCUGUUGUGGCUCAGUGGGUUAAGAACCUAGCAUAGUGCCCGUGAGGAUGCAGGUUAGAUCCCUGGCCUCACUCAGUGGGUUAAGGAUCUGGUGGUGUUGCAAAUGGCAGUGUAGGUCACAGAUGUGGCUCAGAUCCGGUAUUGCUGUAGUUGUGGCCUAGGCCUGCAGCUGCAACUCCAGCUCAGCUCCUAGCCCUGGAGCUUCCAUAUGCCACAGAUGUGGCCAUGAAAAGAAACAUAAAUAGGAGUUCCCAUCGUGGCGCGGUGGUUAACGAAUCCGACUAGGAACCAUGAGGUUGCGGGUUCGGUCCCUGCCCUUGCUCAGUGGGUUAACGAUCCGGCAUUUCCGUGAGCUGUGGUGUAGGUCGCAGAUGCAGCUCGGAUCCCGCGUUGCUGUGGCUCUGGCGUAGGCCGGCAGCUACAGCUCCGAUUGGACCCCUAGCCUGGGAACCUCCAUAUGCCGCAGGAGCGGCCCAAGAAAUGGCAAAAAGACGACAACAACAACAACAACAACUCAGAAACAUAAAUAAAUAAAUUUAAAUUUUUUAAAUUUAAAAUACUUGUUCAGUUUUUGAAAAGAGGAGGGCAGUUAAUUCAAAACCUCUGAAAGCAUUAUGCAUAUUACACAGAUAAGGUAGCAAAAAAACAUGUGCCUCUGAUAAAUCUGAAGAGCCUCAGAAGAACUGCUGAGAUUCAUUAAUGGAGCAGAGGGUUCUUAUCCAUAGGCUGAUCACCUUUAGAUUCGCCAAGUUUGAGUCAGAUGUUAUACCCUAAAUUAAUUUUCAUAGUCGACAAAAUUGGGCUAAUCUGACGCUUUGAUACUCAAACUUGAAAGGAUGAUGACUCUUCUUUACUGGUUUUCAAUGAUGUUCCGAGGACCCUUGGACAUCUUGAGCAAGCCAGCUGGAUGGGCCCCAUUCCUGUUACUCGUGUCUUCAUCCAGCAUCACUCGUCUGUACUUGUUUUAUUUACAUGUCUAUAAAUUUUCCUUUGAAGGGCAAGUUCCAUGACUUAAAAGAAAAAAAAAAGUGUCAGAUAACAACCUAAAACUGUUCACAAAUAAUUAUAUUAUUCCUAUAUGUAAAGUGCUUACCUGAGAGUAGGUGGUGGAAUCUGGUUGUCUUUAGGAAACAACAGCUUCAUCUCCUAGAAAGUACAAAAAUCUUUAUCAGUUCAAACAUCAAAAAGCUACAGACGUGUUUGUAAAAUGCACAACACAUUUGUAACUGUUGUAUUUAUUCCUCUUUUUUUUAGACUGUUUUCUUAUGUGUAUUUCCCAAUGAAAUGGGGAACUCUUUGAGAGCAAUAACAAUACUUUUUUGUUUCUAUUGAGAUUAGCACAGUGCUUAGCAUGAUAAAGUUAUACUAAAUUAACAAAUGGAUGGAUGGAUGAAUGGUUGGAUGGAUGGAUGACUGACUAUUAGAAAAAUGUCUGUGACACAACACUAAUACCUAGGACUUGGUAAUUGUUUUCUAAUCCUGUCUCAGCUAUUCUGUUUUUAUAAGGCCCUGAAUAAAUUAAUUUUGUAUCUCAUUAUGCUAAAUAUAAAAUUAAAAAAUAGAGUGUGUUUUGCAAAUUAAGGAUAAUGAGUCACUGUUUCUUGAGACUAGACGAUGCAUGAGCAAAUUAAUUACAACAGCUUAUGUUAUUAUAAUUACAAUGUUUAUUAUAAGAUAUAGUUGCUGUUGAUGAAACUAGCCCAGAAAAGGAAUGUAGUAUGAACAGUUGGUUCAAAUUUGGGGCCAAUAUUCUGGUGAACAAAAUUAUUAUUUAUUACUUGAAGGACCUGAGACCAAAGUUUAAUAAAAAUAUAUAGUCAGCGUUGGGUUUCUGCAGAUUCAGUAACAGCAGUGACCUAGUAGCCAAAGAAGACCUUGAAAACCAGGCAAAGCUGAAGAGGAAGAGGUAAAACGUGAAGGUUUCUACCUCUUGUCAGCUGCUGUGUUGGAAGAAUAUACCUGUGAAUAAAUUUAGUAGAACUCACCAAGUUGCUUCUUUGUGCAAGAUCUGUUGCUGAAUUAGAGAUGAGCUGCUAAAUCAGGGAAGAUGAGACAUAAACACAUAACCAAGAAAGUAUUGAGGCCGCAAGAGAAAUAGUGUUCCGUGGUGUGAGAAUUCAUGACGAGGAAAAUAAUCUUUCUCUAAAUAUUGAGUGUUACUUAGAUUACUUAUGCCUUGGUUUCCAAAUAAUAAAACCUUUCGUCUUCCCAAUAGAGCCUUUAGCAUAAAUAAAUAUGUAGGGAGUGUUUCUGGCCGAAGUACGGGUUCUACAAGGGAGCAAGCCGUUUCCACAAACAUGCUGUGUUUCUUUGUCGGGACAGUCGGCUCCAUUUUGUUUCCAUCCUGUGGCCUGAAGGCCCUUCAAGUUGCGAAGCUGUCUCUGAUGUGAGCCAAAGUUAAAUCAUCAGAUUGACUGACUCACCGCACCAUGUGUUUUGUAUUAAAAAUGUGUGUGUGUGUGUGUGUGUGUGUGUGUGUGAUGAGCAAAUGAAAAUGCGGACUCCCCAGGCCCUACAGUCUUUGUUAUUCCUAGAUUUACCAGUGUUUUCACAAUUCUGUGAAAACAGUGUAUCUCUGAUAUGUUCAAAGUACCUCAUUUUUACAAGGCAGGAUAUUACUAUCGUCUAAAAGCACUAAGAAUAAAUUGAUAUGCAUAUUUACCCCCCCAAAAAAAGCAACAGUAACUUUUGACCUUCAUGUGAAUCUUUAAAUUUGAAUGGGCUAGUUCAGUCUUCAAAAACAAAGAUAAAUGGAUGAUAGAUCUGAAAGAAAGUUUGAAGAAAAAAGACAUACAUAAACUCAUCCUAAUUUAAUACACAUCUUCUAACUUUCAUGUAUUUCCUUCCAGUUAUUUUCAUGUUCGUGUCAUUUCACUCGUUGCUAACCCAUCCUGCUCUGGGAUCUGCCCCCUCCCAGGCCACCACAGCAAUGGCUCUUGUUCGAGUCGCCAUGACCUUGGGGGCCUCCACUCACUCCUUAGUUUGCCAGGCCUCUCCGGGGCCUUGGGCAUAGCCCCGGCCCCAGCUCUCUCCGCGUUCUCUGAGUUCCAGGCGCUGUGAGCCAACUGGCUUUCGGUCCACAGCGUUGCCUUCCCUCCUCGGGGCCUUCGUGUGUUCUGCACCUCUUCCUUGGAAGAUGCUUCUCCCGGUUCCUCCGGCCCCUUCACCCACUUAACUGCUCUUCUUGCAGAGCUCAAUACAGAUGUCACAAAGGUAGAUUAGAUCGCUGCAAGUCUGCUUCAAAAUGGUUUUCUGUCUCCCUUAUCCUCUAAGUUCCUCGAUGGCAGAAGCCGUAAUUGUCUUCACCAUUGAAACCUCAGGGCCUAGAUCAUUGCCUGGCAUGUAGGAGCUGCUAAAAACUUCUGUUGUGGUUGAGCCGAUUUAUGAAUUGUUGCGCCAGUUUCAUAUCCUGCUCUUCGGUGUCAGUGCAUAUCUCCAUGUUGUUCCUUCCUGAUUUGUUUACUUUUAUCAAACGUAUACACACGUGCAUGUGUAACUGUGCUCAAACUGGGAAUAACCCAAAGGUCCAUCAGCAGGAGAAUAGAUAAAUAAAUUGCGCUGUUUUCAUUAAAUGAACUAUUACAGAGCCAUGUUGUAAGUCUUGCUACACAGAACAACAUGAAGAAAUCUUACAAACAUACUAGCAAAUGAAGCCAGAAACACAAGAAUAUUUACAUGUGAUUCCAUUUAUAUAAAUUUCAAAAGCAGGGAAUACUGAUCUAUGAUGUCACAAGUCAGGAUACUGGUUAUCCUUGGUGGGAUCUUGGGGACUGGGAGGGGGCACAAAGGGGGCUUUAUGGGUACUGGCAAAAGUCCAUAUCUUGAUUUGGGUGCUGUUACAUAAUGGUUCACAUGGUGAAAAGGCAGUAAUGAUUUUUUUUCUGCUUAUAUAUUACUGGUAAAUGUUUACUUAAAAAUAAAAAAUUAGGAGUUCUCACCAUGGCACAAUGGGAUUGAUGGUGUCUCUGCAGCAGCAGGGAUGCAGGUUGGAUUCCUGGCUCGUUGCAGUGGGUUAAGGAUCAGGAGCAUUGGAAUAGCUGUCAGUUCCAGCUGUGUCACGGGUCGCAACUACAGCUACAGUUUGAUCCCUAGCUCCAUAUGCUGCAGGGCAGCCAAAAAUUCAAAGUAAAAAUUAAUGAGGAGUUCCCAUCGUGGCACAGCAGAAAUGAAUCCGACUAAGAACCAUGAGAUUGCAGGUUCAAUCCCUGGCCUUGCUCAGUGGGUUAAGGAUCUGGUGUUGCUGUGGCUGUGGUGUAGGCCAGCAGCUGUAGCUCCCAUUAGACCCCUAGCCUGGGAACCUCCAUAUGCG
rnacentral:lncRNA from 1 species